rnacentral:rRNA from 1 species
AACUUUCAGCAAUGGAUCUCUAGGCUCUCGCAUCGAUGAAGAACGCAGCGAAUUGCGAAACGUAAUGUGACUUGCAACCCUCGUGAAUCAUCGAAUCUUUGAACGCAUCUUGCACUAUUCGGCUUCCCCGGAUAGUAUGCCUGGUUGAGUGUCUGUG